UGAGCUUUUAAAGAUUCACAUGGGGAA
rnacentral:piRNA from 1 species